rnacentral:rRNA from 1 species
ACUCCCAACCCAUGUGAACUUACCUUUUGUUGCCUCGGCAGAAGUUAUAGGUCUUCUUAUAGCUGCUGCCGGUGGACCAUUAAACUCUUGUUAUUUUAUGUAAUCUGAGCGUCUUAUUUUAAUAAGUCAAAACUUUCAACAACGGAUCUCUUGGUUCUGGCAUCGAUGAAGAACGCAGCGAAAUGCGAUAAGUAAUGUGAAUUGCAGAAUUCAGUGAAUCAUCGAAUCUUUGAACGCACAUUGCGCCCAUUAGUAUUCUAGUGGGCAUGCCUGUUCGAGCGUCAUUUCAACCCUUAAGCCUAGCUUAGUGUUGGGAAUCUACUUCUCUUAGGAGUUGUAGUUCCUGAAAUACAACGGCGGAUUUGUAGUAUCCUCUGAGCGUAGUAAUUUUUUUCUCGCUUUUGUUAGGUGCUAUAACUCCCAGCCGCUAAACCCCCAAUUUUUUGUGGUUGACCUCGGAUCAGGUAGGAAUACCCGCUGAACUUAAGCAUAUCAAUAAGCGGAGGAAAAGAAACCAACAGGGAUUGCCUUAGUAACGGCGAGUGAAGCGGCAACAGCUCAAAUUUGAAAUCUGGCCCUUGGGUCCGAAUUGUAAUUUGUAGAGGAUGAUUUUGGUGCGGUAUCUUCCGAGUUCCUUGGAACAGGACGCCUUAGAGGGUGAGAGCCCCGUACGGUUGAAUGCCUAGCCUCUGUAAAUCUCCUUCGACGAGUCGAGUAGUUUGGGAAUGCUGCUCUAAAUGGGAGGUAAAUUUCUUCUAAAGCUAAAUAUUGGCCAGAGACCGAUAGCGCACAAGUAGAGUGAUCGAAAGAUGAAAAGCACUUUGAAAAGAGGGUUAAAUAGCACGUGAAAUUGUUGAAAGGGAAGGAUUUGUGACCAGACUUUUUCUGGGCGGAUCAUCCGGGGUUCUCUCCGGUGCACUUCGCCCAGUAAAGGCCAGCAUCGGUUUUCGGCGUGGGAUAAAAGCAGUAGGAAUGUGGCUCUCUACGGGGAGUGUUAUAGCCUAUUGUAUAAUACCGCGCUGGGGACCGAGG